UUCCAGACUCCUACGGGAGGCAGCAGUGGGGGAUAUUGCACAAUGGGGGGAACCCUGAUGCAGCGACGCCGCGUGGGUGAAGGAGCGUUUCGGCGCGUAAAGCCCGGUCAGCAGGGAAGAAAAUGACGGUACCUGAAGAAGAAGCCCCGGCUAACUACGUGCCAGCAGCCGCGGUAAUACGUAGGGGGCAAGCGUUAUCCGGAUUUACUGGGUGUAAAGGGGGCGCAGACGGCAGCGCAAGCCAGGAGUGAAAGCCCGGGGCCCAACCCCGGGACUGCUCUUGGAACUGCGUGGCUAGAGUGCAGGAGGGGCAGGCGGAAUUCCUGGUGUAGCGGUGAAAUGCGUAGAUAUCAGGAGGAACACCAGUGGCGAAGGCGGCCUGCUGGACGACAACUGACGGUGAGGCGCGAAAGCGUGGGGAGCAAACAGGAUUAGAUACCCCUGUA
rnacentral:rRNA from 1 species